GAAUCUUCCACAAUGGACGAAAGUCUGAUGGAGCAAUGCCGCGUGAGUGAAGAAGGUUUUCGGAUCGUAAAACUCUGUUGUGAGGGAAGAACAAGUAGGAGAGUAACUGCUCGUACCUUGACGGUACCUCAUCAGACAGCCACGGAUCACUACUCGCCCGUAGCAGCGGUAAUACGUAGGUGGCACGCGUUUUCCGGAAUUAUUGGGCGUAAAUCGCGCGCAGGCGGUCCUUUAAGUCUGAUGUGAAAUCCCACGGCUCAACCGUGGAAGGUCAUUGGAAACUGGGGGACUUGAGUACAGAAGAGGAAAGCGGAAUUCCAAGUGUAGCGGUGAAAUGCGUAGAGAUUUGGAGGAACACCAGUGGCGAAGGCGGCUUUCUGGUCUGUAACUGACGCUGAGGCGCGAAAGCGUGGGGAGCAAACA
rnacentral:rRNA from 1 species